rnacentral:rRNA from 1 species
AACGAACGCUGGCGGCGUGGAUAAGACAUGCAAGUCGAACGGAGAUUCUUUAGAGCUUGCUUUGAAGAGUCUUAGUGGCGAACGGGUGAGUAACACGUGAGUUACCUGCCCCGAAGCGGGGGAUAGCCCGAAGAAAUUCGGAUUAAUACCCCAUGUGAUCGUAAGAUUAAAGGCGGCGUAAGCUGUCGCUUCGGGAUGGGCUCGCGGCCUAUCGGCUUGUUGGUGAGGUAAUGGCUCACCAAGGCGAUGACGGGUAGCUGGUCUGAGAGGAUGAUCAGUCACACUGGAACUGAGACACGGUCCAGACACCUACGGGUGGCAGCAGUCGAGAAUCAUUCGCAAUGGGCGGAAGCCUGACGGUGCGACGCCGCGUGGAGGAUGAAGGCCCUAGGGUCGUAAACUCCUGUCAUCAGGGAGUAAGGGCUCAUAUAGUAACUGCUAUGGGUCUUGAUAGUACCUGAAGAGGAAGGGACGGCAAACUUCGUGCC